AGGAUGAACGCUGGCGGCGUGCUUAACACAUGCAAGUCGAACGUGAGGAUGCAGUAAUGUAUCUGAAAGUGGCGGACGGGUGAGUAACACGUGGGUGACCUGCCUCAUAGUGGGGGAUAACCAUGGGAAACUGUGGCUAAUACCGCAUGGUCCGCUUGGUAUGGGAAUAGCAAGCGGUAAAGCUUUAGUGCUAUGAGAGGGGCCUGCGGUCGAUUAGGUAGUUGGUGGGGUAAUGGCCUACCAAGCCGAUGAUCGAUAGCUGGUCUGAGAGGACGAUCAGCCACACGGGAACUGAGAGACGGUCCCGACUCCUACGGGGGGCAGCAGUGAGGAAUAUUGGGCAAUGGGCGCAAGCCUGACCCAGCAACGCCGCGUGGAGGAUGAAGGUCCUUGGAUUGUAAACUCCUUUAGUGGGAAGAGCGAGGACGGUAACCCCAAAGAAUAAGUCAACGGCUAAACUACGUGCCAAGCAAGCCGC
rnacentral:rRNA from 1 species